ensembl:snRNA U6 U6 spliceosomal RNA
AUACUCACUUUGACAGACCAUAUAUUAAAAUUGGGACAAUACAGAGAAGAUUCACAUGGCUUCUGCUCAAGGAUGACAGCAAAUUCAUGAUGCAUUUUAUAUUUUA